UUUCCUCUCAACUUCUCUUUCUCCCCCCUAAUAUUCCGCCGACGCAUUUCCGGCAAACUUCUCCCCCUUUCUUUCUGUGACACUUAAGAAUUGGCACAUGCAGCCAAAGUGGGAUAUCGAGAACUGAUACUGGUAGUCAGUAUUGUGGGAAGAGAAUUGGCACGAGUAGCCAUAUUAUGGGUAAUUUCCAUAUUUUGGAUGUCGUUCCUAGCUUUUGUAGUGUUAAACUUUUUCUUGACAAUGCCUACACGGUUUAUCGUCGAGAUCUGUAAUUUGGGCUUUUAGCCCCUUUUAUUCAUCGGAAAAAAUGAGAUCAAAACAACUAUAAUGUAUGAAAUUUUUUUGUGAUACUUCAUAGCUAAGUUCAAAUACUGAUUGUUGGAAAGCCAAUGUUUUCAUAUGUUGGUGUGAAUGUUAGUGCAAAAUAAAUGUUCGAAG
rnacentral:lncRNA from 1 species